rnacentral:tRNA from 3 species
GGCGGCUUGGCCAAGGGGUAAGGCAACGGCCUGCAAAGCCGAUAUCCCCGGUUCGAAUCCGGGAGCCGCCUCCA